rnacentral:tRNA from 1 species
AUUUAUAUAGUUUAUUAAAACAUUACAUUUUCAUUGUAAAAAUAAAAAAAAAUUUUUAUAUAUU